ACUAACAAGGAUUCCCCUAGUAACUGCGAGUGAACCGGGAAAAGCUCAAAUUUUGAAUCUGGCGGUCCAAGGGCCGUCCGAGUUGUAAUCUAGAGAAGCGUCUUCCGCGCUGGACCGUGUAUAAGUUUCCUGGAAUGGAACGUCGUAGAGGGUGACAAUCCCGUCUUUGACACGGACUCCCAGUGCUAUGUGAUGCGCUCUCGACGAGUCGAGUUGUUUGGGAAUGCAGCUCAAAUAGGGUGGUAAAUUCCAUCUAAAGCUAAAUACAGGCGAGAGACCGAUAGCGAACAAGUACCGUGAGGGAAAGAUGAAAAGAACUUUGGAAAGAGAGUUAAACAGUACGUGAAAUUGCUGAAAGGGAAACGCUUGAUGUCAGUCGCAUCGUCCGGGGAUCAGCCUCGCUCUUUUGCUCGGCGUACUUCCUGGUCGAUGGGUCAGCAUCGGUUUCGACCGUCGGAAAAUGGCUCGAGGAACGUGGCACUCUUCGGGGUGUGUUAUAGACUCGAAUCGAAUACGACGGUUGGGACCGAGGAACUCAGCACGACCUUCGGGUUCGGGGCUUCGGCUCACGUUCGCGUGCUUAGGAUGCUGGCAUAAUGGCCUUAAGCGACCCGUC
rnacentral:rRNA from 1 species